rnacentral:sRNA from 1 species
CUACGGCCUUAUCGAUUUCUU